rnacentral:rRNA from 1 species
AGUGAACGCUGGCGGUAGGCCUAACACAUGCAAGUCGAACGGCAGCACAGUAAGAGCUUGCUCUUACGGGUGGCGAGUGGCGGACGGGUGAGGAAUACAUCGGAAUCUACUUUUUCGUGGGGGAUAACGUAGGGAAACUUACGCUAAUACCGCAUACGACCUACGGGUGAAAGCAGGGGAUCUUCGGACCUUGCGCGAUUGAAUGAGCCGAUGUCGGAUUAGCUAGUUGGCGGGGUAAAGGCCCACCAAGGCGACGAUCCGUAGCUGGUCUGAGAGGAUGAUCAGCCACACUGGAACUGAGACACGGUCCAGACUCCUACGGGAGGCAGCAGUGGGGAAUAUUGGACAAUGGGCGCAAGCCUGAUCCAGCCAUGCCGCGUGGGUGGAGAAGGCCUUCGGGUUGUAAAGCCCUUUUGUUGGGAAAGAAAAGCAGCAGGUUAAUACCCCGCUGUUCUGACGGUACCCAAAGAAUAAGCACCGGCUAACUUCGUG